AGUACCCGACGUAUAGUGACACGAGUUUGCUGAACAGUCCUGUUGCAAUGGAAACAGAUGGGCCUUUAAUUGAAGAUUUGCAGAUGCUGAAAAAGACAGUUAAAGAGGAGGCUUGUCAGGCACAGAAAGAUCAGAAAAAAGAUCGUCCUCUUGUGCGACGCAAGUCAGAACUGCCUCAGGAUAUCUAUACCAUGAAAGCCUUGGAAUCACAUUGCAGAGCUGAUGAAUUAAUAUCACAUGAUGGGCAUUAAACUAUUACAGUGAAAUAUUAUUUUGGAAGAAAAGAUUUUUUUUCUGGACUCAGUUCUACAGUAGAACUUACUUUUUGUGCCAUACCAAUCAGUUACACACAAAGUCAAAGCUUUCUUCAACCCAGUUCUGUAGGCAAUAACUUAGAGUAUGCAGCUCAAGAUUAGUAGUUCAAACAAUGGUAAAUUACCCAAUUCCAUAUGCAGAAUGUUGGGUUGACUAUAAUCAAGUGGACGCAAUUUCCUGGAGGUGUUACCAUGGUACCAGCUAGCUGAUAACGUGCAGUUUUUAUAGUCAUAUUUGAGAAACGCAUUCUAUACGCUCUUUCCGGCUAAGUGAAUGACCAAUAGUUGGUACUAAUGAGAAAUUAAUGUUUUCAAAAUUAAAAUUAUUUCAAAUUUAAGUAUUAAACUUUUUCUACGAUUUCUCAACUUCACAGUUGUUUCGACAUUAUUGCUGUCUUGUAAUAUACCAGCAGUUUUGAAAAUACACAGUUAUUCUUUCGUAUUAUAAAACAUGGCUUACAAACUGGUGAUUUUCAUGACAAUCCUCAAUCAUCAUUCCUUUCUAAGAAUUCUGUAAAUUUAUUUCUCCUUUACUUAGGAUAAAGAUAUAUAUCUAUAUAUACCAUGUCCUAAUACUUUAUGUAUAUUUAAAGCCAUAUUUUCCAGUCUUUAGUGUAUAAUACGGCACCAGUAUUCCAGGUGUGAACUGGUAGAAGAAUUUUUCCUAAAAUGAAAAUUUGUUUACUAUGACUGGGAAUAGACUGAAUAUAAAAUAUCAUUUUAAGUUUUUUCAGGUCAAUAAAAUACUCUUUCACUGUUUUCUCCCUUAUCUGAGCUUUUAAUACUCAGCAUUUUUCUUGGGCUCUAGGAGUUCAAUAUUCUGUGGCAGAUACUACGCGUGAUUUCAGUUGCAUCAGUUUUUAUCUGAAAGACGAUCAUGACCUUUCAGGAAACACAACAUCACAAGCUUAUUAAAAUAAGAAAAAGAACAGACCCUUGAAAUGCGUUCUGUUUCAUUUUAAAUGAGUCUAAGAGCUGAGGAGAUAGUGACCAUAAUUUUACCGUGAAAAUAUUUUUUGUUGUUGUUGUAAAGAGCACAUGUGCUGCAAAUACACCUCACAAGUGAACUGAAAAUGCAUCUGAGUUGCUGAUGAUCUUCAAAUGCUGCUAUAUAUUCCACAAGAUUACUUGCAUGUAAUGAGCUUUUUGUUGUAGAUGGAAAAGCACGGGAGGAAAAUCUCUUUAAAAAUAUAGUGCUUUGUCUUCGAUAUUUGAUUUCUCUCAGGGUGGCCAGUAUUUUGACUUACUUAUCCUGCUUACAAGCUGUUUGAAAUGUGUUCUGCUAUUCUAAAUGGGUGAUUAGUUUCUUUUGUCUCUGGCAGUAACAUGAUAUAACUUAAUGUUUAAUGUCUUGAUGCAUAAAGAGAUAAAAACGUGGCUUCUUUAAAAGUAGUUUUGUUUUACUUUAUAAGGAAGUAUAAGGUCUCCUGCAUCCAUUAAAAAAAAAAGUUGCGCAAAGCAGACGUUCAUAGUAACCUUGUGCAGAUGUAGUGCCUGCUGUUCGUUGGUUGCAUUUAACAUUCAAUUUCCAAUAUUUGUUACGUUGUCUAUUGGAAGAAAAUUGUGGGUGGUAAAUAUUGGCUUGCAACAACAAAAUUUAAAGACCAACCCAACCUUUAAGUGGAAUGUCCACUGUGUCUGAAAACGUUUCCUGUAAAACUUGAAAAGGAUAUGCUUUACCAUUAGGAUAAACUAUGUUAAAACAGUUUAAAGAUGCCUUCUCCUUUUGAGGGAAAAAGGGUGCUUUUUUAAUUGUGUAAAGCAAUGUCUGUGUAUUUUGAUAUACCAUUGUUUGAACUUCCAUCUUUAGCUGGUAGAUUAUCAGUUACCUUUGAUUUUGGGUGUUCAGUAUGUUUGUGCAAGAGGUUGCUGAAAGGAAUUAUUCUUCUGUUACCCAAGGAAAAAAAAACAACCUGUAUAUCAAUGUUUGAUUGUGUGAUGCUCAACGUAUAAGAACAUCUUUCACUGUCUAGAUUUUAUUUUUGUCCUUUAUUGAAGAUAAACACUCACCAAAAGGGAGAUAUGGUAUUUUUAAAGGCUUAAAGUUCACCAUAAAUUCAUAUUGGAAGUUUUGGGCCACUGAGCAUUUGCUUGGGCAAUAUUCCAAAAUCUAUCACCACUAAUGGUUUAGCAUGUUUAUUACCAAUAUUUAUAUACUUAUAAAUCUAUACUAAACUGUUCUAAAACUAAUAAAUCCGAAAUGAAAAGAAAAAUUGAAGUAGAAUUUUGGUGACUGUUGUUCUUCGUAAAGUUCUGUGUCUGACACCUUCCCCCAUUUUCCAAAAUUACACCUGUACAUCAGGAAUGUCAAAAGUAAUAUUACAAGUGUCUUUUUAGUGUGGCUUUAGUAUGGCUUCAUUUUAAUAUUGUACAUACAUUGUACCUUGUUUUAUGGUAAUAAUAAAAAUGUAGACUUCAUAUUUUGUACAGAAUUGUCCUAUGUACAGAAUAAAAAGUUCCUAGAAACAGCAAA